UACAGAGGUCUCAAGCGUUGUUCGGAUUCAUUGGGCGUAAAGGGUGCGUAGGCGGUCGCGGUUAAGUCGGGUGUGAAAUCUUGGAGCUUAACUCCGAAACUGCAUUCGAUACUGCCGUGCUUGAGGACUGGAGAGGAGACUGGAAUUUACGGUGUAGCGGUGAAAUGCGUAGAUAUCGUAAGGAAGACCAGUGGCGAAGGCGGGUCUCUGGACAGUUCCUGACGCUGAGGCACGAAGGUCAGGGGAGCAAACGGG
rnacentral:rRNA from 1 species